rnacentral:rRNA from 1 species
AAUAGAUACCCGGGUAGUCCACGCCGUAAACGAUGAGUGCUAAGUGUUAGAGGGUUUCCGCCCUUUAGUGCUGAAGUUAACGCAUUAAGCACUCCGCCUGGGGAGUACGGCCGCAAGGCUGAAACUCAAAGGAAUUGACGGGGGCCCGCACAAGCGGUGGAGCAUGUGGUUUAAUUCGAAGCAACGCGAAGAACCUUACCAGGUCUUGACAUCCUCUGACAACCCUAGAGAUAGGGCUUCUCCUUCGGGAGCAGAGUGACAGGUGGUGCAUGGUUGUCGUCAGCUCGUGUCGUGAGAUGUUGGGUUAAGUCCCGCAACGAGCGCAACCCUUGAUCUUAGUUGCCAUCAUUCAGUUGGGCACUCUAAGGUGACUGCCGGUGACAAACCGGAGGAAGGUGGGGAUGACGUCAAAUCAUCAUGCCCCUUAUGACCUGGGCUACACACGUGCUACAAGUGGACGGUCAAAGAGCUGCAAGACCGCGAGGUGGAGCUAAUCUCAUAAAACCCGUUCUCAGUUCGGA